AUGGUGCUGCCUAGUGGCUUGUGGGGGAAAAUUAACUGUUUUGGAUCAGCUGAAGGACAAUCUGGAUUCUAGUCCCAACCCCAGAACUUCCUACCCAAUGACCUCUUUGAGUGUGUUUCACCUCUUUGAACAUCUACACCUUCAUUGAUAAAUGGGAAUGUGAUGAUCUCACAGGACUGUAAUGAGGAUCCAGCAACUGUAGGUAAAAGCUUUUUGUAAAUGAACUAGUAACCU
rnacentral:lncRNA from 1 species